UCUUAUUCUAUCGCCCAUCUUCCCCCGUGCCCGCGACCUCCAGCCGGUGCCCACCUUCCCCCGCCCCCGCCUCCUUCUGGGCGCGACGCCGGCCCCGCCUCCUCCGGCGCGAAGCCGCCGCCCCCAACUCCUCUUGGCGCGUCGCCGCCCCCGGGUCCCUAAGCGCCUCCCGCCGCAGCCGGCCCCGCCUCCUCCGGCGCGAGGUCGCCGCCCCCACCUCCUCCGGCGCGAGGCCGCCGCCCCCACCUCCUCCUGGUGCGCCGCCGCCCCCCUGUCCUGACGCACCUCCGGCCUCCACCGGCCGCCACUCCGCCGCAACCACCACGCCGGCCUCCCUCCCCCCUGGAUCCACCGCGGUGGCGGCCUCCCUGCCCCUGGAUCCACCGCGACGGUGCCUCGCUCCCCCUGGAUCCACGGCGGCGGCGGACAGCCUCCCCCUGGAUCCACCAGCCGUCAACCUCCCCCCGAGCACCUCCCUUCUUGUGCUGCAACCGGGGCACCGCUACUGCGCCACCCGCCCCAAACACCGUAGCUCCUCCUCCAUGAAUACAUCACGGAUGUCCACCUGCUCAACGACGGCGCCAACCUAACUCUGACCAUGGCGAUAGUCGACGGACGCCAAUGUUGCAGGCCUGUCUUCUUUGACCGGAAGACGCUCUAGUUUAGCAGCAUCAACAAUGGAAAAAAGAGAGGAAGAAAAUGGAUGUCAGGCUCAUCUCUGGAGUCUUUGCAAUCCUUUCAUGCUAGGUGUUUGUGUAAAGCAUGCUCAUGCAUGCCUGUGGAAGUUGAAAGGAAACAAAUGUUCCAGUA